UACGUAGGGUGCGAGCGUUGUCCGGAAUUAUUGGGCGUAAAGAGCUCGUAGGCGGUUUGUCACGUCUGCUGUGAAAUCCCGAGGCUCAACCUCGGGCCUGCAGUGGGUACGGGCAGACUGGAGUGCGGUAGGGGGAGAAUGGAAUUCCUGGUGUAGCGGUGAAAUGCGCAGAUAUCAGGAGGAACACCGGUGGCGAAGGCGGC
rnacentral:rRNA from 1 species